rnacentral:rRNA from 1 species
AUUUAUCUCUAAAAUUAUGGUGGCUAAAGUUGAACUGAAACUCUGGGGGCGAAAUAACAAGGUGGCCCGCGCCCUUCGUUAUGUUUGUCCGGUAGCAGAACGUACUGUUAAUUGUUCAGUGAGAGCCCCACACGGCAUCAGAAGUGAUAAUGUGGACAUGAGUAAAAAAUCAUAGGAUCACUCCCCCCCUGGUUUCCCAUAUUAGGUAUGGGGUUAAACAGCCCCUAAAAUUGCAGCCCCAAAGGUUGCGUUAAUGGGGGGCCAUGAGUAAUAGACGCACAAAGUGCCAGGAAAGAAUUAUUCAAGAGCCAAAGGGGCCUUGCAGGCCUUACCUGCAAGGACCCGAUGGGGACCAUCUCUCGGCGCCGCACUGUACUAAACUAACUAAAGUGGGGGAUAGUGAGGGGAUAAAUUUCCUUAAGGAACUCGGCAAAAUCCCAAUGGCCCACCAGGGCAUUUAACUUUUGUAGCAAGGUAUCAAGGUAUCAAGGUACCUUAUACGAAGGUGGGGUCCGGUAGGAUCCUACCUCCACCCUAACGGGUGGCGGUUACUUGUAUUGGAACACGGGCCUCGACUGUUUACCAAAAACAUAGCCCUCGGCCAAUAUGAAAAUAGAAGUAUGGAGGGUGAGGCCUGCCCAAUGGUUGUAUCUAAAAGCGGCUGAUGAAAGUCGAUCUCGUAAGGACAAUUGAAUGGCCGCGGUAACACUGACCGUGAUAAUGUAGCGUAAUCAAUAGCCAAUUAAUUGUUGGCCAGUAUGAAUGGCGCCACGAAGGCCCCACUGUCUUAAGGAAAUUCCCAGUGAAAUUGAAUUCGUAGUGAAGAUGCUACGUCCAAUUUGUUAGACGAAAAGACCCCGUUGAGCUUUACUGGGGCACUUACACGGCCCCGGCCUGCGAGACUAGGGACCAUACCUAGGGACCGGCUGAAUUUAAAUGGGCGGCUUAGACUAUGUGGCAGCCCCCGUCGGGGCAGAUGAAACCCCACUCCCCCAUGUCAAAGGGGCUAACCCCCCCUUGGGGGGGACAGUGUAAGUAGGACAGUUUGGUUGGGGCGACCGCCUUUUAGAGAGUAACGAAGGUGCGCUUAAGGUGCGCAAUUAAUGACUGAAGCCUGACUGCGAGGGGGACACCCCGAGCAGACACCCCCAAGCCCGCCCUCCCAGAAGGCGGCGGUGGGGGUGGGCCAUAGUGACCCGUUAAUUUAGAGUGGAAUAGUUAACGAUCAACGAAUAAAAGUUACCACGGGGAUAACAGCGUAAU